rnacentral:rRNA from 1 species
GGAUUAGAUACCCUGGUAGUCCACGCCGUAAACGAUGUCUACUAGCCGUUGGGGUCCUUGAGACUUUAGUGGCGCAGCUAACGCACUAAGUAGACCGCCUGGGGAGUACGGUCGCAAGAUUAAAACUCAAAUGAAUUGACGGGGGCCCGCACAAGCGGUGGAGCAUGUGGUUUAAUUCGAAGCAACGCGAAGAACCUUACCAGGUCUUGACAUCCAGAGAACCUUUCAGAGAUGAGAGGGUGCCUUCGGGAAUUCUGAGACAGGUGCUGCAUGGCUGUCGUCAGCUCGUGCCG